GAUGCAGUAGCUAAGUGGCAAAGCAUCUGCCUGCAGAUCAGAAGACCGGUGGUUCAAUUCCACCCUGCAUCU